AGUGAACGCUGGCGGUAUGCCUAACACAUGCAAGUCGAACGGCAGCACAAUAAGCGCUUGCUCUUACGGUUGGCGAGUGGCGGACGGGUGAGAAAUACAUCGGCAUCUACUUUUUCUUGGGUGAUAACGUAGGGCAACUUACGCUAAUACCUCAUACUACCUACGGGUGAAAGCAGUGGAUCUUCGUACCUUGCCCGUUUGUAUUAGCCGAUGUCGGAUUAGCUAGUUGGCUUGGUAAAGUCCCACCAAGGCGACGAUACGUAGCUGAUCUGAGAGGAUGAUCAGCCACACUGGAACUGAGACACGGUCCAGACUCCUACGGGAGGCAGCAGUGGGGAAUAUUCGACAAUGGGCGCAAGCCUGACCCAGCCAUGCCGCGUGAGUGAAGAAGGCCUUCGGAUUGUAAAGCCCUGUUGUUGGGAAAGAAAAGCAGCAGGUGAAUACCCCGAUGUUCCGACGGUACCCAAAGAAUAAGCACCGGCUAACUUCGUG
rnacentral:rRNA from 1 species